rnacentral:lncRNA from 1 species
UUCUCCCCUCCCGCUUUUCCUCCCUUUUCCCCGAUUUCCCUCCCGGUUCCCGCCCUCAUUCCCGGUUUCCUUUCCCGCUUUUCCUUUCUUUAUCUCGGUUUUCCCUCUCUCAUUCCCGCUUUUCCCUCAUUCCUGGUUUUCCCUUUCCCCAUUCCCGGCUUCUCCUCCCGCUUUUCCUCCCUCAUUCCCGGUUUCCUUUCCCGGUUUCCUUUCCCGGAUUUCCCUCAUUCCCGGUUUCCUCCCUUAAUCCCGGUUUUCUCGCCCCUCCCUCAUUCCCGGUUUCCUUUCCCGGUUUCCCUCCUUUUAUCCCGGUUUUCCCUCUCUCUUUUCCCGCCCCUCAUUCCCGGUUUCUCCUCCCGCUUUUCCUUCCCUCAUUCCCGGUUUCCUUUCCCGGUUUCCUCCCUUUAUCCCGGAUUUCCCGCCCCUCCCUCAUUCCCGGUUUUCCCGCCCCUCCCUCCCCUCCCCCUUUUUGAACGCCCCGGGCUCCGCCCCCCGCCCGUUAAAUGGGGCCCGAGCGGGAGCGGCACCGGGAGCGGCACCGGGAGCGGGAUUGGGAGAGACCGGGACCGGGACAAGCACCGGGACCCGCACCGGGAUCGGGACCGGGAUUGGGACUGGGAGAGACCGGGACCGGAACAAGCACCGGGAUCGGCACCGGGAUCGGGAUCGUCCGGGACCGGGAUUGGGAUCGGAACCGGGAUCAGAACCGGGAUUGGGAGAGACCGGGAUCGGAAUCAGCCCCGGGAUCGGAAUCUGGAUCAGAACCGGGAUCGGCACCGGACGGGGAUUGGGGUCAGAACCGGCACCGGGAGCGACCGGGACUGGGAUAAGCACCGGGAUCGGCACCGGAAUCGGGAUCACAACCGGGAACGGAGCGACCGGGACCGGGAUAAGCACCGGGACCGGGACUGGGAUCAGAACUGCGAUCGUCCGGUACCGGGAUAAGCACCGGGAUCAGGUUUAGAACCGGGAUUAACACCGGGAUCGGGAUAAGCACCGGGAUCAGAACCGGGAACCACCGGGAGCGGGAUAAACACCGGGAUUUGUACCGGGAGCGCUCAGAACCGGGAUCAGAACCGGAAUCUGGACUGGGAGCGGCACCGGGAGCGUCCGGUACCGGGAUAAGCACCGGAACCGGCACCGGGAUCAGCUCGGAGCUCUCGGGUCUCUCCAAGCUCCGGUUCCGCUCCCGAACCGAGACGGGACCGAAAACAGAACCGGGAACGGCCGGGA